rnacentral:rRNA from 1 species
GACGAGAGGAGCAAGCGUUAUUCGGGAUAACUGGGCGUAAAGGGUGUGUAGACGGUUUAUUAUGUUAAAGGUUAAAUAUCAAAGCCUAACUUUGUAAAAGCUUUUAAGACAGAUAUAACUCGAGUAUGAUAAAGGAUAGUAGAAUUUUUAAAGUAGCAGUGAAAUGCUAAAAGAUUAAAAGGAACACCACUAGGCGAAGGCAACUAUCUAGAUCGAUACUGACGUUGAGGCACGAAAGUAUGGGG